rnacentral:rRNA from 1 species
UACGUAGGGGGCAAGCGUUGUCCGGAAUCAUUGGGCGUAAAGAGCGCGUAGGCGGCCCUGUAAGUCCGCUGUGAAAGUCAAGGGCUCAACCCUUGAAUGCCGGUGGAAACUACACGGCUAGAGUGCGUUCGGGGCAGAGGGAAUUCCUGGUGUAGCGGUGAAAUGCGUAGAGAUCAGGAAGAACACCAGUGGCGAAGGCGCUCUGCUAGGCCGUAACUGACACUGAGGGACGAAAGCUAGGGGAGCGAAUGGG